CCCAGUUGACAUCCAGAAUCCUGGCAGAGGAAAAAAAGCAGAAUCUCAUCCAGGACACGGGAUUCCACGGAGUUGUCACGUCUGUCAAGCUCCGCCUGUGCCAGUUUCUCCGACAUUCCUUGUUUUUGAUGUGGCAAGGUCUCCAUAGACCCAUAGUCCAUUGCACAGACUGGUCUCCAUCUCCUGGGCCCAAGCAAUCCUCCCACCUUGGCCUCCAAAAGGGAUAGAUUACAGGUGUGAGCCACUGCACCUGGCUGCACUCUUCCAAGUUUUAUCAGUCAUGAAAUCACAGCCAAUGGGAACAAGAGCAUGAAUGCAGGAGGAGGUAGGAGAAUCACAUUUUCCUGUGUUCAGUCAACAAACAUUGCUGACAACACGCCUGACAUUCUGCAAGGACAAGUCAUCUGGACAAUGAUGAGCAUGGAUGGCCCCUCUGCGGUGUCACUCACAACCCUUAACAAAUCUAUUUCAUACAUGGCAGAUGAUGGGAGCCCUGAAGGUACAGCUCCAAAAUUGUUGCUUCCAUGAAGGUUCAAAUGAACCAGGGACUAACUCUGGGUUCUUGACACUUGGAUUUAGACAUAAACUUUUGCCUGUAUGUUUUCAGAGAUGAAGAGGACCAAGACACACAUUCAGAUGGGGGUGAGACAAUGCCCGUUGUCCCUUCAGUGCAUCAGUCACUUCCAGUGCUCUUCAGUGGAAACUCCUUGAAGCCGGCACUGUGCCAUUAAUGUAAUUCCUGAAAAGAGAGGAAAAUAGGCACACUGCCUUGGCAAAUAAGAUGGAGAAGGAAGUGAAUACAGUUAGCUGGGUAGUAGGGAUCUGCACACGAUUAUAUGGAAAAUAACUUUCUGGGCUGCAAGCUUCAAAAGCUCAGGACACAGCCCUGGAAGAGGUGCCAGGUUGCAAGAGGGAGGCAUGCACCGGACUUUGGACCCCAGAGUGCUGCCUUUCCUUUCUCCAGCCACGCCCACCCUGCCUGUUACAGCACCUGAGCAUGAGGACAGAAAGAAAGGACGGGGCAGAGGGGGUGGGGAGGGGUGUGUCUGUCCACUGGGCCGGGCAGUUUGGGUCUAGGGGAGGCUGUUCUAGGGCUCCUUUGAAAGCACAGGUAACAGAUGACAAGCAGCACACAAAAGCUAUUGACUAGUCCACACACUUAGAAAGGUGGAAAAGAGGAAAUGCAUAUUUUCAGUAGAAGACAAAACAAUGUCCCAGUGGCUGGUCAUCCUCAUGGAUCGUCACGGUAUGAGCACCUUGUACAGGGCAUCUGGUCUGCCGAGAGCUGUCAGAGCCAUUUUCUCAGCCACCUUUUUUUUUUCUUCCUUUUUUUGAGAUAGGGUCUUGCUCUGUUGCCCAUGCUGGAG
rnacentral:lncRNA from 10 species